UACGAAGGGGGCUAGCGUUGCUCGGAAUCACUGGGCGUAAAGGGUGCGUAGGCGGGUUAUUAAGUCAGGGGUGAAAUCCUGGAGCUCAACUCCAGAACUGCCUUUGAUACUGAUAGUCUUGAGUAUGGGAGAGGUGAGUGGAACUGCGAGUGUAGAGGUGAAAUUCGUAGAUAUUCGCAAGAACACCAGUGGCGAAGGCGGCUCACUGGCCCAUUACUGACGCUGAGGCACGAAAGCGUGGGGAGCAAACAGG
rnacentral:rRNA from 1 species